GCUGGAAAGGCAAGGGGAAAAGGAGAAAACAACCUCACGGCACCGUAAAACGGGAAAAUUCGGCCCAAUUCAUCCUAACAAGGGAAAAGCAGACCCUAGAGCUGACCGUUUUCACAGCAGAUGGUUUCACAGCACACAUGAGGUCCUGGCUGGAUGACGCCGAGCGGGCGAGCAGGGAAGGGCCCCACAGGCCAAAAUGUUCCGACCCGGGCUCUGAUCCUGGAAUCUGAUUCAUACGAGUGCAGCCCGGUGCCUCCCAGCUGCUCUACUUAAUGGUGCAGAUCGGAUUACAGCCUCCCGGGUGCCUAAAUUUAGCCCCCCAAAUCCAUACAUCGAUUAGUUUGACAUCCUCAAGUGCCACGCACCCAUUUCAGUAGGAAUUACAAACGCUGGUUCGAUCCAAAGGCUUGGUUUGAAGGCCUUGGCACGCUCCUCGAUGCCCUCAGGGGCUCAGGCUGACAAGGGCAACACGAAACCCGGUGCCCCAACCCUGUGAGACACAGAUCACCUCUGCGCCGCUGUGGGAUGAUUUGUUUUGAGCUGUAACAGCUCCUGGCACACCGUGCCAGCAGGGAACUGGCCGCACGCUUGCUGCGUGCUGACUGCUCUCUCUGCUGGCCAACUGAAAAAUUUUAUUUCCACGAGACAGGCCUGCAGAAAUGCAUCAACCGAGAAAAUGCAUGUCAGAAAAAUAGAGCUUUUUUUUUUCCCCUAAAGUCCCAAACAGGCACAUAAAAGAGGUUGAAUUGAAUAAAUGAUAUUCUUAACAAAAAGGAAGCAGCAGAGGAGAAAGAGGCAGGACAGACAUGGGUCUUCUGUCCCAUCCCAGCUCACUGCAUCCAUAGUUUGGUGGAAGCGAGAGGACCGACCCAUGGGACAGGGUGACCCCAGCGUGGAUGUCAGGCCGUCAAGGCCUUGCCCUAACAUUUUCAGUAGCAAACGUUGUAGUGUUGGGUUACUGGAGAAUUUCCAGUGACCACCAGCACAGAGAAGCCAGGAGAGAGUGGGACUGUGAGGAACUUUUUUCUGUUUGUUCAAUGCCUAAUUCAAGGGUGACCGAGUCCAAAAAGCCACCACACGGGGACUCUCAGCACAUAAAUACUGUAAUAGGAAUGGACUACAGAAAGUCAGGACUUCUCUGUGGGAAAGGACAAGCUAAAGACCUUGAUCCUGAAAUUAGACCAAACGUGGCAAAUUCUCCUAUCUGAGCCUCACUAAAGGGAGCGUGCCAUGGAUUUCAGCCACCAGGAACCAGCUCAGUAGUUUAAUCAAGGAGCAAACUCAUGUCUGGAGGGAUGACAACCUGAUGUUCUACAGCUCAAUGGCUCUGUUGAGUGACGCCCAGGUGCUGGGUUUAUGUGGCGAGGUUUUGGUAGUGGGGGGAGCUGCAAGGGUGGCCUCUGUUUACAACAGAGCAACACGUUUAUGGUGGGAUGUCAACCUCUGAUCUGAUUUAUUAAAAAAAAAAGAAGUUGACUCUUUUGUAAUAAAAAUAAAAGACUUUAUUCA